rnacentral:lncRNA from 1 species
UGUUUUGAGUGUAAUUACCAGAUCCACCAGUCGACUACUUAUAUCCAUAACCCAUUAUAUAUUUCACCAUAGAAACUGGAACAAGACAGUAAAAUGCAUAUAUUUUAAUAUCAAUCCAAACUUUCCAAGUAGAUUUUUUUUAAAGAAAAGGGGAAACUGAAGCAUUACAUCGUGGAACCAACUUUGAGCUUUUUUUUGGGGGGGGGGGGGUCUGUGUUGUACGUGGGACAUAUUUGGGAGACGGACCGUCGCUAGGCAACAGUCCCGAAACGCGAUUGAGAGAACAAAGGAUUCCUGAAACUUCAAAGCCUUGUAUGAUCAGGCCAUUGUGAGGAGGUCUUCAUAAAGUGUCCCUCCUAAAUUACUAGAUGCCAAACUUCAAAGAUGUCCACAGCACUGGACUGCAGUGAGAGAGCCAGGCCUACAGUACGGCCUAAGGACUGGCUUAUGGUCCUGGCUGCCUGAAUGUUUCCUCCACAUAAUAAACUAACAAACACAGCACUGGACUGCAGUGAGAGAGCCAGGCCUACAGUACGGCCUAAGGAGCGGGCCUGGCUUAUGGUCCUGGCUGCCUGAAUGUUUCCUCCACAUAACAAACACAGCACUGGACUGCAGUGAGAGAGCCAGGCCUACAGUACGGCCUAAGGAGCGGGCCUGGCUUAUGGUCCUGGCUGCCUGAAUGUUUCCUCCACAUAACAAACACAGCACUGGACUGCAGUGAGAGAGCCAGGCCUACAGUACGGCCUAAGGAGCGGGCCUGGCUUAUGGUCCUGGCUGCCUGAAUGUUUCCUCCACAUAACAAACACAGCACUGGACUGCAGUGAGAGAGCCAGGCCUACAGUACGGCCUACGGAGCGGGCCUGGCUUAUGGUCCUGGCUGCCUGAAUGUUUCCUCCACAUAACAAACUAACAAACACAGCACUGGACUGCAGUGAGAGAGCCAGGCCUACAGUAUGGCCUAAGGACUGGCUUAUGGUCCUUACUGCCUGAAUGUUUCCUCCACAUAACAAACUAACAAACACAGCACUGGACUGCAGUGAGAGAGCCAGGCCUACAGUACGGCCUACGGAGCGGGCCUGGCUUAUGGUCCUGGCUGCCUGAAUGUUUCCUCCACAUAACAAACACAGCACUGGACUGCAGUGAGAGAGCCAGGCCUACAGUACGGCCUACGGAGCGGGCCUGGCUUAUGGUCCUGGCUGCCUGAAUGUUUCCUCCACAUAACAAACUAACAAACACAGCACUGGACUGCAGUGAGAGAGCCAGGCCUACAGUAUGGCCUAAGGACUGGCUUAUGGUCCUGGCUGCCUGAAUGUUUCCUCCACAUAAUAAACUAACAAACACAGCACUUUGGAGGCUUACUCAGUCACUACAACAAACUUCAUAAAAUGCCAUUAGGCCUAAUGAAGAUACUAUAUAUAUAUAUAUGUAAGUUACUUGAUUGGUGUCUUGUGAAUCAACCUGUAUGCGCAUUAGGAUUGAAUAUUUCCCCGGGAUUAUAGGAUAAUAAAUCACUUUUCUCCCAGGUAACCUGGUAGUUUCCACCCAAACUGGAAGUGUCAUUCAAAAGCAUUAUAAGGUAUAUAAAUGUGUGGAUUUGAUGAGAGCUUUGAUCAGCAUGAACAUUAUAAUCUGAUGCUACCUGAGCCUAAUGAGACAUAUAAUAAAUACAUUUUAUGAGCCC